rnacentral:lncRNA from 1 species
UUGGUUAUUAUCUUGAAUGCUAUUAUAGAUAGAGAUAAACUGUAAACAGCAAUAAUAUUCAGCAAAGUAAGAUCUACAUAUAAGUCAACAUGACCAAAAUGGUCAGUUGACCCCUUAAGGAGUUAUUGCCCUUUAUAGUCAUUUUUUACCAAUUUUUCAUAAAUUUUUGUAAUCUUUUACAAAAAUCUUCUCCUCUGAAACUACAGGGCUAAAUUUAACCAAACUUGGCCAAAAUCAUCAUUGGGG